AUGGUGGCUGCAAAGAAGAUGAAAAAGUCUCUGGAGUUGAUCAACUCUAGGUUCCAGCUUGUUAUGAAAAGUGGAACGUAUGUGCUGGGAUACAAACAGACUCUGAAGAUGAUCAGACAAGGCAACGCAAAGUUGGCUGUCCUCACUAACAGCUGCCCAGCUUUGAGGAAAUCUGAACUAGAAUACUAUGUCUAAAACUGCUAGAAUAUUGGCUAAAACUGGUGUCCAUCAGUACAGUGGCACUAAUAUUGAACUGGGUACAGCGUGUGGAAAAUACUACAGCGUAUGCACACUGGCUAUCAUUGACCCAGGUGAUUCUGAUAUUAUUAGAAGCACGCCAGAACAGACUGGUGAGAAGUAA
rnacentral:lncRNA from 1 species